UACGUAGGUGACAAGCGUUAUCCGGAAUUACUGGGCGUAAAGCGCACGCAGGCAGCUGCGUAAGUCUGACGUGAAAUCUCCCGGCUUAACCGGGAGCGGUCGUUGGAAACUAUGCGGCUUGAGGCGAUGAGAGGGGUGUGGAAUUCCCGGUGUAGUGGUGGAAUGCGUAGAUAUCGGGAGGAACAUCAGUGGCGAAAGCGGCACCCUGGCAUUAGCCUGACGCUCAGGUGCGAAAGCGUGGGGAGCGAACGGG
rnacentral:rRNA from 1 species